UAUGAAGUGGCUGAUAAAAAGCACUGGGUCGGAAUGAGAGCGGGACGGCACGCGGAGAAUAAAGGAGAAUCAUUUCAAUCAUUUCGAUGUGGAUGGAAUUAGUAGAUGCAAAUGACUAGCUAUCGUUCCAAUUUCCUGUGCGCCGGAGGAAUGCCAAAGUAGAAAAUAGAGAAAAAGAAAACAAGAACAAAAUAAAUAAAAUAAAAUUAAAAAAAAAAAAAAAAGCAAAUUCUUUUAGAAGCCCAACUCGGAAAUCUCAACAUGGUUUGACGCAUGUGUUGAGAUAUGAAAGAAUACUCAACGG
rnacentral:sRNA from 1 species